GUGGGGGAUAUUGCGCAAUGGGCGAAAGCCUGACGCAGCGACGCCGCGUGGGUGAUGAAGGCCUUCGGGUCGUAAAGCCCUGUCGAGGGGGAAGAAACGGUUCCGACCUAACAUGUCGGAGCCCUGACGGUACCCCUAAAGGAAGCACCGGCUAACUCCGUGCCAGCAGCCGCGGUAAUACGGAGGGUGCGAGCGUUGUUCGGAAUCACUGGGCGUAAAGCGCGUGUAGGCGGUCCGUUAAGUCUGAUGUGAAAGCCCGGGGCUCACCCCCGGAAGGGCAUUGGAAACUGGCGGACUUGAGUCCCGGAGAGGAGGGUGGAAUUCCUGGUGUAGCGGUGAAAUGCGUAGAUAUCAGGAGGAACACCGGUGGCGAAGGCGGCCCUCUGGACGGUGACUGACGCUGAGACGCGAGAGCGUGGGGAGCAAACAGGAUUAGAAACCCGUGUAGUCC
rnacentral:rRNA from 1 species